rnacentral:rRNA from 1 species
GACGAACGCUGGCGGCGUGCCUAAUACAUGCAAGUCGAACGCACAGUUUAUACCGUAGCUUGCUACACCAUAGACUGUGAGUUGCGAACGGGUGAGUAACGCGUAGGUAACCUGCCUGGUAGCGGGGGAUAACUAUUGGAAACGAUAGCUAAUACCGCAUAAUAUUGAUUAUUGCAUGAUAAUUAAUUGAAAGGUGCAAUUGCACCACUACCAGAUGGACCUGCGUUGUAUUAGCUAGUAGGUGAGGUAACGGCUCACCUAGGCGACGAUACAUAGCCGACCUGAGAGGGUGAUCGGCCACACUGGGACUGAGACACGGCCCAGACUCCUACGGGAGGCAGCAGUAGGGAAUCUUCGGCAAUGGACGAAAGUCUGACCGAGCAACGCCGCGGGAGUGAAGAAGGGUGUCGGAUCGUAAAGCUCUGUUGUAAGAGAAGAACGGGUGUGAGAGUGGAAAGUUCACACUGUGACGGUAGCUUACCAGAAAGGGACGGCUAACUACGUG